GCGCUCGGUAAGGGUAAGGGCGGCCGUUGGCUCCCCGUUGUUGCUCGGGCCGCUGACGUUCAAACUGACCAAUCACAAUGCCCCGCCUCAGGGCCGGGCUAGUGUUAAAAACUGCUGAGGUGGGGCAGAUUUUGCUACCAGCAGGGUUCACUGACGCGUAAGGUGCCCUGUCACAAUUUGCUACCUCCCCUUGUCUCAUUGGUCCCGGGGGAGCAAGUUCUGACCGGACAUCAAGCGGUGAGGUAGCAAACCAUGGUGACAGUUGUUGCCCUUUACAAUUUGCUACCAUUUUGAAAUCUCCAUUGUAAAUGUGGACGCCCUGAGAGGAGCUGAACCUGCUGGCCACUUUCAGGAAGCAGUGCGGAGCCAGGACAGGCAGGGAGCCUGCCUUAUCCCCACUGGCUGCUGAGCGGAAGCCGCCUGAGCUGUGAAACCUGGACACCAUACAAAUAGCAUAUCAAACAGCUAGAGGCCUUCCAUAUAUGGUCGCUGCGUGCCAUUAUAGGGAUCUGCUGGCAAGACAAAAUUACCAACCUGGAGGUUCUCCAAAAGUCAAAUGCCACAAGCACCGAGGCCAUGUUGAUAAAAGCCCAACUACGCUGGGCUGGACACAUCAUUAGGAUGCCUGAACAUUGACUCCGCAGAAAAAAUUUUCUAUGGAGAAUUGGCACAAGGACACUGGACUCAAGGCCACCCCAGAAAGCACUAUAAGGAUAGCAUCAAGAACAGUAUACACUUCAGUGCAAUAAAACCGCAUGAUCUCGAGAAGUGUGUGUCAAAUAGAUCAGCAUGGCGACACACAAUAUUCAGAGCUUUCCAAGCCUUUGAAGAGGAUGAAAUAAUAGACUGUUAGCUGAAAGGGAAAAGUGUUAUACCACUACUAUAGCUACCAAGACCCUCACCAAUGACUUUGUCUGCCCGAUCUGCUUACGAGUAUGUGCAUCACGCUUUGGAUUUAGGAGUCACUCUAGAAUCCACAAAAAGAGAUAGCAUGAAAACUUCGUUGUCAAACUGACAGACUACGUGAAGAAGACGACCAAACCACUAUAGAAGGAAAGCCUUGCAGAAGCAAAAAGCCAUUCAAGUAACUGUCACAGGCAGUAAGUAGGAACUGAGUAGGUGUGGGGCCAGCGGUGCCCUAUAUACUGGUACAGAGGAACGGGGUUCUACGGGGUGCUAGGGCCGUCCCUAUGGAUACCAUUAAGGGAAAAAAAUCUCCGGCAACGGUGCAUGUGACGCGUGCACACCUAGCAUGGAAUCGACAUGAGCAAGCACUUGAAGAACUAAUGUGGCCUUCAAGAUGUAAGGAUUGUAUCUCAGGUAUAUAAAUCAAAAUACUUCUGAUUACAUGUUUGGCAGCAAUAAGUACAGCAAAAUGCUGCAAUUAAAGG